rnacentral:guide_RNA from 1 species
AACGAUGAUCACUGAGAUUUUACCUAAUAUGGAUGUUAAU